rnacentral:rRNA from 1 species
UACGUAGGGGGCAAGCGUUGUCCGGAAUCAUUGGGCGUAAAGCGCGUGUAGGCGGUUUCGUAAGUCUGCUGUGAAAGUCGGAGGCUCAACCUUCGAAAGCCGGUGGAUACUGUGAGACUUGAGUACGGAAGAGGAGAGUGGAAUUCCUGGUGUAGCGGUGAAAUGCGCAGAUAUCAGGAGGAACAUCAAUGGCGAAGGCAGCUCGCUGGGACGGUACUGACGCUGAGGCGCGAAAGCGUGGGGAGCGAACAGG